rnacentral:lncRNA from 1 species
UCAAAUGACUUCUAAAGAGAAUUUCUAACCCAUAAUAAGGCUUGUGGCAGCCUCCUUGAAGCCCAUUGGGCAUGGCCUUCAACCAAUAAGAAUAAAGAUUCCCAUUCCUUGCCUUCAUCCAACCAUGCCUUGCUUUUAUCCCUUCCAAUAAGCCUCCUACUAAUUAAUAUUUUUAUCUUUAGGCUCUAAUCUCCUCUCAAGGCUUCAUAUUAAACAUUUAGGUCCUAUA